rnacentral:misc_RNA from 1 species
AAAUUUAAUAGUGAAUGCAAAUAAACAAGAGAAGAAAGACCCAAAUCCUCAAUUUUUCCUCCAAUUGUCAAAUGCUCUAACCCCAUUUAGUUUCAUCUCCAAUGCCCAAAUGCUCAAAUUUAUCCCUAACACUCCAACCAUAGAUUUCACAGAAUACAUGAAAAAUACUACAAUUCAAGCUAUUCAGCAUUGCCCAUGCUUGGCACCAGCCUCCAACUUCCCAACAGCUUAAAGAUUUAGGCAUACUUGAUAAAGCAAAGAACAAU